rnacentral:rRNA from 1 species
CCUACGGGGGGCAGCAGUGGGGAAUAUUGGACAAUGGGCGAAAGCCUGAUCCAGCCAUGCCGCGUGUGUGAAGAAGGCCUUCGGGUUGUAAAGCACUUUCAGUGGGGAAGAAAGCCUUGGGGCUAAUACCCUCGAGGAAGGACAUCACCCACAGAAGAAGCACCGGCUAACUCCGUGCCAGCAGCCGCGGUAAUACGGAGGGUGCGAGCGUUAAUCGGAAUUACUGGGCGUAAAGCGCGCGUAGGCGGUCUGAUAAGCCGGUUGUGAAAGCCCCGGGCUCAACCUGGGAACGGCAUCCGGAACUGUCAGGCUAGAGUGCAGGAGAGGAAGGUAGAAUUCCCGGUGUAGCGGUGAAAUGCGUAGAGAUCGGGAGGAAUACCAGUGGCGAAGGCGGCCUUCUGGACUGACACUGACGCUGGGGUGCGAAAGCGUGGGUAGCAAACAGGAUUAGAUACCCCGGUAGUC